GUCAAUAGCAUUCAAGUGAUUUUAAAGUCCGUCGCAAAUUUUUACCUUCAGUUGCAGAUUACUUACCAAUCGAAAAAGUUGUGAAAAAUUUAAAAAAGAAACGUUUUUUAAAUAAUAGAGGAAAAAAAGCUGCUUAAAAUUAAUUUUUACAAAAAAAAAAAAGAAAAUUUAAUUACGUAAAAUAGAAAAUAAUAAUAAAAAAAAAAAAUAAUCAUAAAGUGCACAUACAUAUGUACAUAUUUGUACUAAAGUUAAAUUAUAAAUGAAUUCAAUUAACUCAUAUUUUGUAUUUGAAUAAAAUUAAAUAAUUUGAUCAAUGAAGGAAACGAGAAAGUGUUUUAAUUACUGUUCCUUAAUAAAAAAGAAAAGCAAAAUAAUCAUUUUUAUGUGUGCAUGUAUGAUACGUACUGCUUUUCAGUAAUCUUUGCGAAGGAGGAGCGGAAUUUUGAUUCCAAAAAGAGAGAAAAAAAAUAAUUUUUUUUUUAUUAGGAAUUGGGAAGUUAUUAAAUUCACGUUACAGUAAAUAUAUAGAUGAAAAUUUUAAAUUAGUGUUAUACUUAUGUUGAAAUUUUGAAAAAGAUUGUCAAAAAUAAUUGAAUUAUAUUAAAAAAAAAGUGCUUAAUAAUUAAAAUAUAACAAUAAAAUUGUGGAAAAAAUUGAUGAAGAUGACAAAUAAAAUUAUUUUAACUGUUGUUAUAACAGUUUUUC